GUCCGCUAACGCUUCUGUGUGGGCUACGCAGUAUGGUGAAUGACUGCAAGGGAUUUCCCAGUCGAAAAGGAUCCGGGAUGAAGCAGACAUGGAGGAGAGAAAAAGAUUGGUAAUAAGAGCUGCAGAGAGGACGUUGUCUGACUAUAUCUGUCUCAUGAAAUGUUA
rnacentral:lncRNA from 1 species